GUUGAACGCUGGCGGCAGGCCUAACACAUGCAGGUCGAACGGUCACACGAAGCAGUUUGCUGCCUCGCUGACGCGUCGCGCACGGGAGUGAAACGUCUGGGACCCUGCUUGAUGGAUGGGGUUAACUCCUGGAAACGGUACCUAAUACCGCUUAACUUCGCAAGACCAAAGAGGAGUACCUUAGGGCCUCUUGCCAUCCGAUGUGCCCUGGUGGGAUUAGCUAGUAGGUGGGGUAACGGCUUACCUAGGCAACGAUCCCUAGCUGGUCUGAGAGGGUGACCAGCCACACUGGAACUGAGACACGGUCCAGACUCCUACGGGAGGCAGCAGUGGGGAAUAUUGCGCAAUGGGCGCAAGCCUGAUGGAGCAAUGCCGCGUGUAUGAAGAAGGUCUUCGGAUCGUAAAACUCUGUCAGCAGGGAGGAAGAGAGGAGAAAGAAAAUCUGCACGCAUUGACGUUACCCGCAGAGGAAGCACCGGCUAACUCCGUG
rnacentral:rRNA from 1 species